CGAGUAAGCCAGAUGGUCGCUGCUGCAUUGUAUGCAGGAGAGGAAAGUCCGAGCUCCAUAGGGCAGGGUGCUGGGUAAUACCCAGUGGAGGCGACUCUAAGGAAAGUGCAACAGAGAUAUACCGCCUAUUAUAUUGUAAAUAUACCCAUGUAUAGGCUUUAAUAGCUUUUGGGAUUUACAAAAUAGGUAAGGGUGGAAAGGUGAGGUAAGAGCUCACCAGCGCAAUGGCGACUUUGCGGCUAUGUAAACCCCACCUGGAGCAAGAUCGAAUAGGAAGACACAUGGGGCUGCCCGUCCCGUCUUCGGGUAAGAUCGCUUGAGCCUAUUGGUAACAAUAGGCCUAGAUAGAUGACCAUUUAAUACAGAACUCGGCUUAUAGACUUACUCGAUAU
rnacentral:RNase_P_RNA from 3 species